rnacentral:ribozyme from 13 species
AUCACCAAGAAAAACAAAAAGAGGUUCAUCAACAAUUUCAUUGACUUCUUUUCCUUCUUUUCUUAAUUUUCCAAUUUCUUUUCCUUCCAUUCCCACAUAUUCUGCUCUUAACUUUGUUUUCUUUCUAUAAAAACCAUAACCAAGACAAGGAACAGAAUGGUCACAAAAAAAAGCCUCGAGAAAAAUAUCUCUUUUCCCCUCUAAUUUCAUUUUGUCUCCUAUUUCUAUCC